rnacentral:sRNA from 1 species
GCUGCGUCCGACCCCCGGCCGGCGCGGGUAUGGAGCUUGGGGGUCACUGGGACAUGAACUCGGCCCCGAGGGUGGUCUCGGAGACCGCAGAGCGGAAACAGGAGCGGAAGACAGGAACCGAGGCGGAGGCUGCCGACUCCGGUGCCGUCCGAGCCCGCCGCUUCCUGCUCUGUCUCUACUUGGUGGGCUUCUUGCAUUUAUUUUGUUUUAGGAUUUGUUUGGUGUCAGCAUGGUUGUGCCUUUAUUGAGCCUUCAUGUCAAGUCCCUUGGAGCAAGUCCAACAGUUGCUGGAGUAGUAGGUGAGUGGUCGAUAUUGCUCAUUUUUAGAGCACUGA